CCUACGGGAGGCUGCAGUGGGGAAUAUUGGGCAAUGGGCGCAAGCCUGACCCAGCAACGCCGCGUGAAGGAAGAAGGCUUUCGGGUUGUAAACUUCUUUUAUCAGGGACGAAGCAAGUGACGGUAGCUGAUGAAUAAGCCACGGCUAACGACGUGCCAGCAGCCGCGGUAAUACGUAGGUGGCAAGCGUUAUCCGGAUUUACUGGGUGUAAAGGGCGUGUAGGCGGGGGAGCAAGUCCGAUGUGAAAAGGAUGGGCUCAACCCAUAGCCUGGGUUUGAAAUUGUACUUGUUGAGUGCUGGAGGGGCAAUCGGAAUUCCGUGUGUAGCGGUGAAAUGCGUAGAUAUACGGAGGAACACCAGUGGCGAAGGCGGAUUGCUGGACAGUAACUGACGCUGAGGCGCGAAAGCGUGGGGAGCAAACAGGAUUAGAUACCCGUGUAGUC
rnacentral:rRNA from 1 species